GGCUUUGCGCAGUGGCAGUAUUGUAGCCAAUGAGGUUUAUCUGAGGCCCGAUUAUUGCUAAUUGUAUUGGUGUACACAAUGUUCA
rnacentral:snRNA from 1 species